AUGAUAUUUGCACUCAACCUUAGCCGGCUGGAUUCUUCUGGAGCCUUCCAUGGGACGACGACAUUUAUUCCUCCCCCUUCAACAGCAAGGUCUGUGUCCAUGAGAGAUAUGGGUACAGAGAUGACACCAACUGCUAGCCAGGAACCUUCCAGGACUGGAAUUCCAGUGGGGGCAACAACACCAAUUCGUAGUCCAACUAAUUCAAGGCCAUCUACUCCCACCAGAGCUGCGCAGGCUUCAUCUCCCAAUGCUCCAUCUAUUGACCACAUAGAUCCUAACAAGGAGCUAUCUGAGAAAGAGAAAACUAGGCGAGAGAUAAUGGCUCUUGGGACACAGCUGGGUAAGACGAAUAUUGCUGCCUGGGCUAGCAAAGAAGAGGAUAAAGAUGCAUCAACAUCAGUAAAAUCUGCAGCAUCAUAACAACUAGCUAGGAGUAUUAUUGAGACACGUGCAGCAGCAUGGGAGGAGGCUGAGAAAGCCAAGUAUUUGGCUAGGUUUAAACGUGAAGAGAUGAAAAUUCAAGCGUGGGAGAAUCAUCAGAAAGCUAAAUCAGAAGCAGAGAUGCAGAAAGUCGAGGUAGAAAUUGAAAGGUUAAGGGGACGGGCACACAGUAAGCUAAUGAAUAAAAUAGCAGCUGCAAGGCAUAAGGCUCAAGAAAAGCGGGCAUCGGCGGAGGCCAAGAAAAACCAGCAAGCUGCAAAAACGGAGCAACAAGCAGAGCACAUUCGCAGAACUGGUCGGGUCCCUACCACAUUUUUGUGGUUGGGGUUGGUGCUCUUGAUGUUCGAGUCACUUGUUGGCCAUAUCAACACAUCUAUUUCUAUUCUUAAUCGUCUCAACGCGUCCGAUAACCACAAAGUCCUCCCUCUGAAGAAUACAAAGUGGAGUCCCAACCUUGAUGCCUUGAAGACCUUUAACCCGCACAAUAAUUGGAUAUUUCCUGUGGAAAACACCUUUUGGUAAAAUCUUGAGCUUACAUGGAAAGACAGCUUCCUUGUCUGCAGCAGCUAACUCCUUCUCCUUUUCCUCCUUGGGGUUUUUCAUAUAGGCCUUAAUCACCUCAUGAAUUAUAUCACCAACAAAAAUGCCAAGAUCUUCUUUUCAAGCAUCACACUGGCCUUCUUCACCCACAGUUGCUCUCUCUCAAGCAAGUUCCCUUGAACUUGUGACUCAGAGUCUCACAAGUUCCUGCUUCUGCAACCAUUGCAUUUGGCCCCAUCCCUACAUUUUAAACACAAACAUUAGUAUUCAUAGUUUCAUACAAAAAGUUCAUUUACAUCUAGUAAUAGAGAUUAAAACAGUGAGAAAAUCAGAAGGAUGUUGCUCAUAUAUGAUUAUACCAGAAGCAUGAGAGCAACAAAGAAAAGUCGAAAGAUAAGCUUCCUCCUCCACAGCA